rnacentral:rRNA from 1 species
UACAGAGGUCUCAAGCGUUGUUCGGAUUCAUUGGGCGUAAAGGGUGCGUAGGCGGCGCGGUAAGUCGGGUGUGAAAUCUUGGAGCUUAACUCCGAAACUGCAUUCGAUACUGCCGUGCUUGAGGACUGGAGAGGAGACUGGAAUUUACGGUGUAGCGGUGAAAUGCGUAGAUAUCGUGAGGAACACCGGAGGCGAAGGCGGCAUCCUGGACCAAUACUGACACUGAGGAGCGAAAGCCAGGGGAGCAAACGGG